rnacentral:rRNA from 1 species
CCUACGGGAGGCUGCAGUGGGGAAUAUUGCACAAUGGGGGAAACCCUGAUGCAGCGACGCCGCGUGAGUGAAGAAGGAAUUCGGUAUGUAAAGCUCUAUCAGCAGGGAAGAAAAUGACGGUACCUGAGUAAGAAGCCCCGGCGAACGACGUGCCCGCAGCCGCGGUAAAACGUAGGGGGCAAGCGUUAUCCGGAUUUACGGGGUGUAAAGGGAGCGUAGACGGCAGAGCAAGUCUGAAGUGAAAGCCCGCGGCCCAACUGCGGGACUGCUUUGGAAACUGCCCGGCUAGAGUGCUGGAGAGGUCAGCGGAAUUCCUCGUGUAGCGGUGAAAUGCGUAGAUAUUAGGAGGAACACCAGUGGCGCAGGCGGCUUACUGGACUGUAACUGACGUUGAGGCUCGAACGCGUGGGGAGCAAACAGGAUUAGCUACCCUAGUAGUC